GAUCAUGGCUCAGAACGAACGCUGGCGGCAUGCCUAACACAUGCACGUCGAACGAGACCUUCGGGUCUAGUGGCGCACGGGUGCGUAACGCGUGGGAAUCUGCCCCUCGGUUCGGAAUAACACAGAGAAAUUUGUGCUAAUACCGGAUAAUGACGAAAGUCCAAAGAUUUAUCGCCGAGGGAUGAGCCCGCGUAAGAUUAGCUAGUUGGUGGGGUAAUGGCCUACCAAGGCGACGAUCUUUAGCUGGUCUGAGAGGAUGAUCAGCCACACUGGGACUGAGACACGGCCCAGACUCCUACGGGAGGCAGCAGUGGGGAAUAUUGGACAAUGGGCGAAAGCCUGAUCCAGCAAUGCCGCGUGAGUGAUGAAGGCCUUAGGGUUGUAAAGCUCUUUUACCAGGGAUGAUAAUGACAGUACCUGGAGAAUAAGCUCCGGCUAACUCCGUG
rnacentral:rRNA from 1 species